GUCUUCGGCCAUACCACCCUGAACACGCCUGAUCUUGUCUGAUCUUGGAAGCUAAGCAGGGUCUGGGCCUGGUUAGUACUGGUUAGUACUUGGAUGGGAGAAGAGUUAUGAUAGCCACAGACA
ensembl:rRNA 5S_rRNA 5S ribosomal RNA